UACGAAGGGGGCUAGCGUUGUUCGGAAUUACUGGGCGUAAAGCGUGCGCAGGCGGCUUCUCAAGUCAGGGGUGAAAGCCCAGAGCUCAACUCUGGAAUUGCCUUUGAGACUGAGUGGCUUGAGUACGAGAGAGGUGAGUGGAAUUCCCAGUGUAGAGGUGAAAUUCGUAGAUAUUGGGAAGAACACCGGUGGCGAAGGCGGCCUGCUGGGACAUUGCUGACGCUGAGGCGCGACAGCGUGGGGAGCAAACAGG
rnacentral:rRNA from 1 species